rnacentral:tRNA from 1 species
GGCAGGGUAGCUUAGUUGGUUAAAGCGAGGGAAUCAUAACCCCUAGACCGUGGGUCCGACUCCCACCCCUGCUA